GGAAGCAGCAGGGAUGGAUUGUGCGCCGGGGAAAAACCAGAAUGGACCCCCGUGAGGGGGAGGAAGGCUUGCGGGCCGUGAGCUCUACCAAGAGGGAACAAACCCCAUGGUGCCCGUACCACCCUGUGCUAACGGCCCCACUGAAAGAGACGCCGGAUAACUCGGCGCCAUCUACCGCGGAAACACGGGGGGCGGACGCGUCGUUCGGAAUUACGGGACGUAAACACGCCCUAGGCGAGCUUUUGAGUCAUGAGUGCAAGCCUGGAGGCCGACUCCGGACGUGCGCUCGACCGGAAGGGACGUGAGGAGGGGAGAGGUUCGUCAAAUUCCUGGGGUUAAGUGAAAUGCGUAGGUAUCACCUGGAGCACAGGCGCGCCAUCGCGACUUCCUGAACCAUUACUGACGCUGAGGCGCGAAGGCGUGAGGAGAAAAGAAGCUCUAUACCCCCGUAAUCGACGCCUUCAACGGUGAACCCUACGCGUAGCGGCCAUUGACCGCUGAUGUGCCGCUUAGGCUCAUUUUCUGUUCCGCCUGGGAAUACCGCACUAUCGUUAAGACUCAAAUGAAUUGACGG
rnacentral:rRNA from 1 species